UACGUAGGGCGCAAGCGUUGUCCGGAAUUAUUGGGCGUAAAGAGCUCGUAGGCGGUCUGUCGCGUCUGCUGUGAAAUCCCGAGGCUCAACCUCGGGCUUGCAGUGGGUACGGGCAGACUAGAGUGCGGUAGGGGAGAAUGGAAUUCCUGGUGUAGCGGUGGAAUGCGCAGAUAUCAGGAGGAACACCGAUGGCGAAGGCAGUUCUCUGGGCCGUAACUGACGCUGAGGAGCGAAAGCGUGGGGAGCGAAC
rnacentral:rRNA from 2 species